CUAUAAACAAAAUUUAUUAUUUUUAGGGCGAAUAUUAGUGUUUGAGAAAUAAAAAAAAUAAUUACACGUUCUAACCUCACAUUGUAAACAAAAGUGUCUAAAGCCAUACUAAAUGAUUGUUCAAGUUCUGGUACAGAGGUGUUCAAGUACUGCAGCCUGUCACAGUUUAAUGUUCAACUACUGGGGCUCUUGAAGGACUUUUUUAAAUAAUUAAAAAAAAAUUUUUCUUUAUGUCGAUACAUAAACAC